UACGGAGGGUGCGAGCGUUGUCCGGAAUCAUUGGGCGUAAAGGGCGCGUAGGUGGCCACUUCAAGCGUGCGGUGAAAGUCGGGGGCUCAACCCCUGGAUCGGCCGUGCGAACUGGGGGGCUGGAGCACUGGUAGAGGCAGGCGGAAUUCCGGGUGUGAGCGGUGGAAGUGCGUAGAGAUCCGGAAGAACACCGGUGGCGAAGGCGGCCUGCUGGGCAGUUUUGCUGACACUGAGGCGCGACAGCGUGGGGAGCAAACAGG
rnacentral:rRNA from 1 species